UACACACGUGCUACAAUGGUUGGUACAACGAGUUGCGAGUCGGUGACGGCGAGCUAAUCUACUUAAAGACCAAUCUCAGUUCGGAUUGUAGGCUGCAACUCGCCUACAUGAAGUCGGAAUCGCUAGUAAUCGCGGAUCAGCACGCCGCGGUGAAUACGUUCCCGGGCCUU
rnacentral:rRNA from 1 species